rnacentral:lncRNA from 1 species
GGGCAUUCAUGAGGUACAUCUAGAUGAAGUAUGUUAAUUUUAUCCUCAUUAAGUUAGUUAGAUGUGCCAAAUAAAUUGAAAUAGAUGGUUAGUUAGAUGUGCCAAAUAAAUUGAAAUAGAUGGUUAGUUAGAUGUGCCAAAUAAAUUGAAAUAGAUGGUGCCACAUAAAUUGAGAUGGACAACACAAUUUAAGAUUUGAACUUUGUGGGUUUGGACUUGUUCAAAAUUUUUUGAUUAUUUGACAUAUAUUUAAGGUUUACGCCAAAGCGGGGUCAGCUGCAUACGACCCCGUAUUAUUGUAGCAGAUGAUAAAAUUAACAUGCUGUACAGAAUGAGUAAAGCAAAAUCGUAAAAUCUACCUUAUGACAAGCAUGGCAGGUAAAAGGGAGAAAAUCGAGUUGAUGACAAUCAGAUAGUUGGCAGUGUCUUCCUAAAUCUGGAAAAGCUUCUGUUCCUCCUCCCAUCCUCUUUCUUCUUCUUCUUUGCUUUUGUUUCUUGUCUUCCUUGUCAAAUACUGAUUUCUUCUCGAGUUGCCUGGAAUGGAGUCUUCAUGGGCUAUAUGAUAGGAUUUUAGGUGCUGGCUUGGGCAAUAAGCAAAAACAAAUUACAGGUGUGAAAGGAAAUAGCAAAGGAAGCCGUGGAGGUGCGGGAAUACGCGCUUACGUCAUCAAUCGGAUCCGGGUCGGUAAAUGCGGUCCAGAACGAUCCAGAAAGUUAGUUAGUUCAUGGCUCUCUGGGCCCAACCAAGCCUCUUCUGCUGGCUGACGCUUUGGGCUUAAUUUUGGUGUUUCUGGGCCUGAACUUCAUGAACUCAAACUGUAUCCAUU